GUGGCUUCGGUAGAUGUAACGGUAGAGGCCUUAGUGGAAGUGAUAGUAGGAGGUGGAGUAGAGGUAGAAUUAUGAUAGGAAGAGGUAGUACUAUUAUAAGUGGAAGAUGAAGAGAUGGGUUGAGGCAAAACAGCCAAAACAGCAAUACCUACACAACUAGGGUUACCGUUUCCAACUCCAAAGAAUACCUGAUAAACCUGGUUAUUGACGAGAGAAGGACAAGCAACGGCGGAUUCAGUUCCAUUAUAUUUUAAGCUAUAUCCGGAACUAAUAGCCUCACCGACACUGAAUCCAGAAGAAGUAGAAUUAGUAUCAGAUUUGAAAACUAUUUCACCAUUGGCGCUCACGGAAGCAUAGCGAUUACCAACAGAUAGUUGUCCAUUAGACAUAGUAAAGGUGGCAGCGUCAUCAGUGCCAUCAGCGGGGUCCAAGUAAACAGAACCAGAAUCUCCAACAUAAAAUCCGUGCAAAUGGACGUAUUCAUUGCCGGAGUGAAGAGCCAAAAGACCAAAUUGUCUGCCGUUCAAAGGGUCAUCGCGUCUACGCAAUGGGGAAGCUGUCACACUGGAGGCAACGAGCAAAGAGAGUAAUGUGGAAGCAAUGGGAAUCGAAGAAAACUUCAUGGUGCGUGUAAUAA